AGGAAAAAAAUUGCAUCAGCCCCUCUGGCUGCAGGACUUAGGAUGAUGGAAUUUUCACAGGGUUGCCAUCCAGCUUUGUGUUCCUUUUAGCAAAUCUGCUUGAGUGUGAUCUUGAAAACUGUGCUUGGGUUCUGAAAACUGCAGAUAUUGAAAGGCUCUUAAAACACUGCUAAGUUUCCAACGCUCAGGAUGAUGGGAGGAGAUACACAGCUGCUAAGUAGUAAUGUAUUUGGGAGUUAUGCCAACAGGUUGAACAAGUUGUGAGUGUGGAAGAGUCCGGAAGGAUGUGCUGUCUGAACAGACUGCCCCGUUUCAUGGAAAGCCAAAUUAGUUCCCUCAGGCGUUCUUGGUAGCACAGUGCAGCAGUAAGCAAAAGUUCUUCUGAAAUAAUAGCAGAAAUAAUAACUACUUAU